rnacentral:rRNA from 1 species
UGAAUACGAGACGCUACGGCGUCGAAGCAGUCUAUGUCAUACUUCCAAGAAAAGCUUGCACUGUCAUAAACAAAUAAUGCCUGUACCAUAACCGACACAGGUGGGUAGGUAGAGUAUACUAAGGGGCGCGAGAUAACUCUCUCUAAGGAACUCGGCAAAAUGACUCCGUAACUUCGGGAGAAGGAGUGCCUUAUUUAUAAGGUUGCAAUAACAAGAUCCAAGCAACUGUUUAUCAAAAACACAGGUCUCCGCUAAGUCGUAAGACGAUGUAUGGGGGCUGACGCCUGCCCAGUGCCAGAAGGUUAAAGAAGUUGGUUAGCAUUAGCGAAGCUGAUAACUGAAGCCCUGGUGAACGGCGGCCGUAACAAUAACGGUCCUAAGGUAGCGAAAUUCCUUGUCGGGUAAGUUCCGACCCGCACGAAAGGCGUAAUGAUUUGGAUACUGUCUCGGAGAGGGGCUCGGUGAAAUAGACUUGUCUGUGAAGAUGCGGACUACCUGCACCUGGACAGAAAGACCCUAUGAAGCUUUACUGUAACCUGAAAUUGAAAUUGGACUUUAUUUGCGCAGUAUAGGUGGGAGGCGUUGAGAAUAUUCUUGCGGGAAUAUUGGAGCCAUCAGUGAGAUACCACUCUUGUAAUGUUAGAUUUCUAACUUUGAAUCAUUAUCUGGUCAAAGAACAGUUUCAGGCGGGCAGUUUGACUGGGGCGGUCGCCUCCUAAAUGGUAACGGAGGCGCACAAAGGUUUCCUCUGAACGGGUAGAAAUCGUAUCUAGAGUGUAAAGGCAUAAGGGAGCUUGACUGUGAGACCUACAAGUCGAGCAGGGACGAAAGUCGGUCUUAGUGAUCUGACGGUGCUGAGUGGAAAGGCCGUCACUCAACGGAUAAAAGUUACUCUAGGAUAACAGGCUGAUCUCCCCCAAGAGUUCACAUCGACGGGGAGGUUUGGCACCUGGAUGUCGGCUCAUCGCAUCCUGGGGCGGUAGUACGUCCCAAGGGUUGGGCUGUUCGCCCAUGAAAGCGGUACGCGAGCUGGGUUCAGAACGUCGUGAGACAGUUCGGUCCAUAUCCGGUGUAGGCGUUAGAAUAUUGAGAGGAGCCUUCUUUAGUACGAGAGGACCGAGAAGGACAUACCUCUGGUGUACCAGUUAUCGUGCCAACGGUAAACGCUGGGUAGCUAUGUAUGGAGAGGAUAACCGCUGAAAGCAUCUAAGUGGGAAGCCCACCUCAAGAUAAGUAUUCUC